rnacentral:tRNA from 1 species
GGGCGCGUAGCACAGUUGGUUAGAGCAUCUCCCUUACAAGGAGAGGGUCGUAGGUUCGAAUCCUACCGCGCCCACCA